rnacentral:rRNA from 1 species
AUGCUGAUGGGCUUUUGGAAUCACUUGAUUAUGAAUCAUUUUGAUGCUUGCGAACCAUGCCUCAUGGGCAAGAUGACUAAGACUCCGUUCUCCGCAACAAUGGAGCAAACAACUAACUUAUUGGAAAUAAUACAUACUGAUGUAUGCGGUCCGAUGAGUGUUGAGGCUCGCGGCGGGUAUCAUUAUUUUCUGACCUUCACAGAUUAUUUGAGCAGAUAUGGGUAUAUCUACUUAAUGAAACAUAAGUUUGAAACAUUUGAAAAGUUCAAAGAACUUCAGAGUGAAGUGGAAAAUCAUCGUGACAAGAAAAUAAAGUUUCUACGAUAUGAUCGCAGAGACAAAUAUUUGAGUUACGAGUUUGGUCUUCAAUUAAAACAAUGUGGAAUAGUUUCACAAAAUUGUGCCACCUGGAACACCACAGUGUAA